GGCCCUUUCUUCUAAUCCUGGCUUCUCAGUCCACAAGCCAACCUCCUCUCCUCUCCAUAAGCUACCUCUCUCUCUCUGUGCUCAAGAUCACAUCCCUCAGGUUCAUUAACUUGAUGAUGCUGUGGUGAUCAAACUGUGUGAUUUAAUGAAAUAUUGUGUUCAUUAGUGAUGAACUUUAGGUUUCCUAGUAAUGCCCCCUGGUUUGGGGCAAAUUCAAACAAUGAUUUGGAGACAGCCGUUAAAACAGCAGGCAUCCUAAGCAAAUCAACCAAGGAAAGGGCUUUUUUUGAUGUGAAGCUGUGGAGAUGGUCCCUCCUCUCAAUUGUUCCUUGGGCUAUCCAUGCCAGAGACAAAAUCUGGAAACUGUCUACUUUAAAUAAAGAGUUGAAGAAGCCCUCACGACGUUAUCGGACUGUUGAAUAUGGUAGCAGGCCCUCUCCUGUACGAUUUAGACCAUAUGUUGGCAAGGUCCCAUGGCAUACAGGUGCAAGAGCCUUCCUUUCUCAGCUAUUUCCACGAUAUGGGCAUUACUGUGGACCUAACUGGUCGAGUGGGAAGGAUGGGGGUUCCCUUCUUUGGGAUAAACGUCCAAUUGAUUGGUUAGACUUUUGCUGCUAUUGCCAUGACAUUGGUUAUGACACUCAUGAUCAGGCCAGCCUUCUGAAGGCUGACUUAGCGUUUCUGGAAUGCCUGGAGAGGCCUCAGAUGAGUACAAAGGGAGAUGCUCAUGUUGCUCAGCUUUAUAAGACAAUGUGCAUCACUGGUCUCAAGAAUGUACUAAUACCAUAUAGAAGACGCCUUGUAGAAUUGAAGUCAGAGCAAUCCAAUAUUUUGUUUGGUUGGCUAAGCAAUGUAAAAUGGAGAGGUUGGAACCCUCCUGGAGAAAGUUGAAAUCAUAGAUCAGUUCUGAGAAGUAACAAUGGAUAUGACACAGUUCCUCCAAUGGGGAAUUGCAGAAGAUGGAUUUUAACCGAACACUCAACUCUUGACAGAUUAUUGGUUGAAGACUUCUUGCUUGACUACAAAAUUAUAUAAAGGCAGUUCACUUUCAACCAUCUCGUUAUCAUAUGGUUCACAAUUCAUAACCUUAUAGCAGUCAAUUCAUGAGCUUUGUUGGGAUGAUCGUACACUUUAUUCAAGGAAGCAACUUGAAGAUAUUCUGCUUAUAUUUGAAUGCGGUCCCUUUCUGCCCUUUCUUCCCUUUCAGAUUCAUUUUUAGAUAUAUAGUUACUAUAAAGGACAACACCAUGUCCAUCUUCUUAUUCAGGCAAGUGUAAGACCCAAAGUUUUUAGACCUGCAACCUCAAAGCUUUCAAUUGAAUUAAGCUUGCAUGGGCCAAGACCAAGUUGGCUAUGAUUAGGGAUUUAAUCCUUAUUUUUCCUUUUUGUUUUUCUAAGAUGUAGAAUUCAUUUUACUGGGUAACUGUCUAAGGCACUUGAUUGACCAUACUUCAGUUCAUGUUUCAGAGAAAUGGCUGAUUCUGAAGCAGAGAUAGGCCCUGUAAUGUAAUUUUUGUUCAUAGUUGAAAGCGCUCUGUAUGCAAUUUUUGUUCA